rnacentral:rRNA from 1 species
AAGCGUUGUCCGGCUUGAGUUUGAUCAUGGCUCAGAUUGAACGCUGGCGGCAGGCCUAACACAUGCAAGUCGAGCGGCAGCACGAGAAAGCUUGCUUUCUUGGUGGCGAGCGGCGGACGGGUGAGUAAUACAUGGGAAUCUGCCCGAUAGUGGGGGACAACGUUUCGAAAGGAACGCUAAUACCGCAUACGUCCUACGGGAGAAAGCAGGCUUAGGCUUGCGCUAUCGGAUGAGCCCAUGUCGGAUUAGCUUGUUGGUGAGGUAAUGGCUCACCAAGGCGACGAUCCGUAACUGGUCUGAGAGGAUGAUCAGUCACACCGGAACUGAGACACGGUCCGGACUCCUACGGGAGGCAGCAGUGGGGAAUAUUGGACAAUGGGGGCAACCCUGAUCCAGCCAUGCCGCGUGUGUGAAGAAGGCCUUCGGGUUGUAAAGCACUUUCAGCGAGGAGGAAAGCAAUAAGGUUAAUACCCUUAUUGUGUGACGUUACUCGCAGAAGAAGCCG